ACCCUAGAACCUCCUCCCUCCUUCGGUUGGGGGCUUAUCCGAACCCUAGAUCUCCCUCUUGGUUAUAAAGGAAAAGCUAAAGUAUAAAGAGGAAGACGACAAGGAGAUGCGUGAUGGAUGGUGUGUGAUGUUGGACUGUGGGAGAGAUCUGGGAACAUUAUUAAGUUAUUUGAGUUUUGGUGAAAACAUCUGAGACUGUAUCAUUUAUUCUAGGUCCAUGAGAUUAUCUUUGGUUCUA